rnacentral:rRNA from 1 species
UACGUAGGGUGCAAGCGUUGUCCGGAAUUAUUGGGCGUAAAGAGCUCGUAGGCGGUUUGUUGCGUCGGCUGUGAAAUCCCGAGGCUCAACCUCGGGUCUGCAGUCGAUACGGGCUAGCUAGAGUGUGGUAGGGGAGAUCGGAAUUCCUGGUGUAGCGGUGAAAUGCGCAGAUAUCAAGGAGGAACACCGGUGGCGAAGGCGGAUCUCUGGGCCAUUACUGACGCUGAGGAGCGAAAGCGUGGGGAGCGAACAGGAUUA